rnacentral:misc_RNA from 1 species
AACUGGUCUCCUGCCAGAAAUAAUUUCCAGCAGAAAGACUCCAAAUGCAAACACAUCUGUCUUCUCAUCUACUAUUCCAUGCAUAUAGUACUCAGGUGCUAAGUGCCUGUAAAAAUUUGCAAAAUUAUUCCAUUAAUUACAAUUCAAUAUGUCGCAUUGCUUGCAGAUAACUCAGUUCAGGAACUUUAACUCUUCAAAAAAUAUUAAAUUUUGCUUGUUUGGUUGGCUGUAUGCCUUGAUUUCUCAAAAAGUUAAAACUCACUUACUUUUGCUGCAAUUAAUUAAGUUAUUUCAUGAGAAAUGAACUUCUUAGGAAGUAGGCCAUUUAUACCAAAUAAGGUCUAAGAAGACCCAUAAGAGGUUCAUCUCAUCCGAGUUCAGUAGAUACCCAAAAGUUCCUUCAAUUGGAGCGAUUGAA